rnacentral:rRNA from 1 species
UACGUAGGGCGCAAGCGUUGUCCGGAAUUAUUGGGCGUAAAGAGCUCGUAGGCGGUCUGUCACGUCUGCCGUGAAAACCCGAGGCUUAACCUCGUGGCUUGCGGUGGAUACGGGCAGACUAGAGGUAGGUAGGGGAGAACGGAAUUCCCGGUGUAGCGGUGAAAUGCGCAGAUAUCGGGAGGAACGACCGGUGGCCGAAGGCGGUUCUCUGGGACGGUACUGACGCUGAGACGC